rnacentral:rRNA from 1 species
UACGUAGGGUGCGAGCGUUAAUCGGAAUUACUGGGCGUAAAGGGUGCGUAGGCGGGUCUUUAAGUCAGGGGUGAAAUCCUGGAGCUCAACUCCAGAACUGCCUUUGAUACUGAAGAUCUUGAGUUCGGGAGAGGUGAGUGGAACUGCGAGUGUAGAGGUGAAAUUCGUAGAUAUUCGCAAGAACACCAGUGGCGAAGGCGGCUCACUGGCCCGAUACUGACGCUGAGGCACGAAAGCGUGGGGAGCGAACAGG